UACGUAGGGGGCUAGCGUUGUCCGGAUUUAUUGGGCGUAAAGAGCGUGUAGGCGGCCAGGUAGGUCUGCUGUGAAAACUCGAGGCUCAACCUCGAGACGUCGGCGGAAACCAUCUGGCUAGAGUACGGAAGAGGAGAGUGGAAUUCCUGGUGUAGCGGUGAAAUGCGCAGAUAUCAGGAAGAACACCCGUGGCGAAGGCGGCUCUCUGGGACGGUACUGACGCUGAGACGCGAAAGCGUGGGGAGCGAACAGG
rnacentral:rRNA from 1 species